AAUUUUAGCGUCAAGGACUCAUUGUUGGAUAAAAACAAACAACCAACUACAACCAGAUUCCAUUUGUCUUUUUCCAGCUUCUUUUCUUGCAUGUGCAGUAUUUUAUUUUUAAACUAUGAAUAAGAAACAACAAAGGAAAUCUUUGGAACUUUUUCUUUGUUCUUGGCCAACUGGGCCAGCAUUGUUUGGCAGUGACCUAGUUCGAAGCGAGGGAAGUGGGAGUUUAACCGAGCACUGAGAACCGGGGGCUUAUUCGCCAGCGAUGCCUGGUGGCGUGGACUUGAUUUGCCACUGUGCCAGCAGCUACAGGCUCUCAAAAAGUCUGUGCAGUUCCCCAUGUUCCACCAUACUUACUGAACAUGGUCUCAUUCUACCGCCUCAGAUAUAACAGCGAUUUGUUUGUUUUUGUUGUUGAUUUUUAAUGAGUUAUGAAAAAUUAAUACAACUUUGGCAAAUUAUAUUCCUGAAACACAAACAAAUAAACCCUUACCUAGAUUGACACUAAGCGGUUAAGGGCUAAGAGCCUUGCUCAAGGACCCAGGAGACACAGCUUGGAAGUGCAAGAAUUUGAACUCACAACCUGCUGAUCAGUAUUUCAGCAGCCCAAGUGUACUGGUUUAGAAGGGGUGAUGGCAAAGCCUGGAGCAAAGCCUGGAGCAGGGCACUCCCCGCUCCCUCUCUCUAAUCGGGAUGCUCUGUGUCCGCCGGGUCAGGCUGAUGUUUCAGCUGCAGAGGUCUUAAUCCACGUAAUGCAGACAGAACAUGAGAUGCUCUGGGAUUUGGAGAGAUCAGCGUCUGUCUGAUGGCAGAGGAAGAGGAAAACGGAGUCUUUUUGGUUCAGUCCUGGCCAUGUGUUGCACUGGAGCAUUGAUCCCCUCCCCUUUUUCCGUGUAAGCUUUAAGAGCUUUGUUGUAAAUCUUCAUGUUUUCAUGUCACUAAAUACAAGGAAGAGAUUUGACAUAUGGAGAUGCAGAAGAACCACUUAUAUUUUAAUGACACUGCAGGGAACACUAAUAGACAAAAAUAUACUUACUAUGCCAAAGUGGAAAGAAAUGCACUAAGCAAAGAUGCCUUGAAAAAGAAAGAAAUUAAUUAAUGAAGUUUUAUGUUGCCACGUAAAAGAACUACUAUAAA